AGAAUCAACGCUGGCGGCGUGCCUAACACAUGCAAGUCGAACGAGAAAGUGGAGCAAUCCAUGAGUAAAGUGGCGCACGGGUGAGUAACACGUGACUAACCUACCCUUGAGUGGGGGAUAACCUAGAGAAAUCUGGGCUAAUACCGCAUAAUACCUUCGGGUCAAAGGAGCAAUUCGCUUUAGGAGGGGGUCGCGGCCGAUUAGUUAGUUGGCGGGGUAAUGGCCCACCAAGACUGUGAUCGGUAUCCGGCCUGAGAGGGCGCACGGACACACUGGAACUGAAACACGGUCCAGACUCCUACGGGAGGCAGCAGUGGGAAUUUUGCGCAAUGGGGGAAACCCUGACGCAGCAACGCCGCGUGGAGGAUGAAGCCCCUUGGGGCGUAAACUCCUUUCGAUCGGGAAGAUAAUGACGGUACCGAGAGAAGAAGCCCCGGCUAACUUCGUGCCAGCAGCCGC
rnacentral:rRNA from 1 species